rnacentral:rRNA from 1 species
GAUGAACGCUGGCGGCGUGCCUAAUACACGCAAGUCGAGCGAACGGACGAGAAGCUUGCUUCUCUGAUGUUAGCGGCGGACGGGUGAGUAACACGUGGAUAACCUACCUAUAAGACUGGGAUAACUUCGGGAAACCGGAGCUAAUACCGGAUAAUAUUUUGAACCGCAUGGUUCAAAAGUGAAAGACGGUCUUGCUGUCACUUAUAUAUGUAUCCGCGCUGCAUUAGCUAGUUGGUGAGGUAACGGCUUACCAAGGCAACGAUGCAUAGCCGACCUGAGAGCGUGAUCGGCCACACUGGAACUGAGACACGGUCCAGACUCCUACGGGAGGCAGCAGUAGGGAAUCUUCCGCAAUGGGCGGAAGCCUGAAGGAGCAAAGCCGCGUGAGUGAUGAAGGUCUUCGGAUCGUAAAACUCUGUUACUAGGGAAGAACAUAUGUGUAAGUAACUGUGCAAAACUUGACGGUACCUAAUCAGAAAGCCACGGCUAACUACGUG